CAAAUAUCUGCCAAUAUUUUUGCCUUUAUGGUGUUAAUUGUCCUUCUACAUGCUUUCUUUUAACUUGUGUCAACAUCAACAUCAUGCCCUGAAGGCUCUAUAUGAUUCCUAUGGAUUGAGAGGUGGAUUUUCUUAUAGUUAUCAAUUGCAUCAGAUGACUCUGUUUUGGAAAUUGGAAUACAUCGUCAUGGGAAUUUUAGUGUUUGGAUAUCUAGAUUCUAAAGCUAAUAUAUACAUGUCUCACACCUGUAUCCUGAUGCCAACUCUCUCGAUGGCUAUUCCAAUUGAUGCUCCGGACACCCAGAGACGAAGAAUAUUAGAUAGGAUAUCAUGUGUCAUUUGCAUAUACUUUUUGUAUCAUGUAUUGGCUAAUUUCCUUGGUUUUCUCUUUUAAUCAAGAUUUUUCCCCUAGGGUUGUAAUUAAGGCUUGUGGUAUGUCACUGCCUAGAAUGUACUUUGUUCCCAGAAUAAUGAAACCUUUUGAAAGGGAUUUUUAGGCACAAAUAUUGUUUCAUUACUAUUCUAAAAAAAUAAAAAAUAAAAUAAAAUAAAACAUAAAACAAAAGAAAGAUAAUUUUUGUAACAAGGAGAUGAUGAUCAACCUGGUGAAACUUGGAAGUUGGAACACGUCUUCUCCCACAAUUUUUGUUUUCUUAAAUUGACUAUUGAUUGGUAAAACCAAAAAUAUUUCAAGGAUAUAAGACCUAAAUGCAAGUGACCCUCAUGUCACUCACAAUUCAGGCUGAACUCAAAUCUAUCCCAAGUCCUCCCAAUUACCCAAGAGAUCCAUAUUGGUACAUCUCAGAAAUCCUGCCUUCCAGCAGUUAAUAAUCCUUUGGAAAGUUCUUCUUUAUAUACCUUCAACCACCGAGGAUGAAUUUGCAGAGAUUCUUGCAUUUCUCUCCUUCCACUUGUCCCAUAAGAUUCUGAACAAACCCAUCUUCCAAAGAAUCUCCUUGUGACCCUUAAAUGGGCUGCCAGCCAAUCCACCACUAUCUCUAAUUGAAGUAUUGAAAGACCAUCCCACCCAAAUCAAAAAAGGGAAAAAGAUCAAACCUCCCUACCCACGGAGCAGUGGAAGAAUAAGUGGUUAACCAACUCCUCAUCCGCUCAAAUCAGAAGAUUCUAGCUACCAUUAGUGUCCCAUGUGGUUGAGUGUGAACAGUUGCUGUAUUUCUCGAAUUUACCAUCUAUCAUAUUGUGGAGAUUUCUGGGGCAGGGCUCAUCCACGGUGGGCUGCAAAAGACCAACGGUCUGGAUCACUGAACUACGGGUCCCACUUAUAUAAACCGACAACCUAACUUUACCAUGCAUUUCCUAAUUCCUCCUAAUUACAAAUGGUCUCUGGUUGAUCUUCACGGUAUCUUGCUUCUCUGACUACCAGCAGUUCCAAACUCCACACUGAAUCUGCCAUCAGCACAGUACUUCGAAAUUCUCUAUUGCCUGACAAAUUCGAGGCAAAUCUUCUUCUGGACCAAUGAUGAUUGCAUUUUGUCACUGAAUAUUCUCAAUGUCACCUGUAUUCUCGAUUCUGACUGUAUCUAGUGUUCAAACAUACAGUAAGCUAGUAGUGUCAUUGUUGAACUAGAUGUCCUUAAGAUCUGAUAAAUAUUCGGAUGAAGUUACAUAGUAGUCUGCUUUACUGAAACCACUCACAUGCCAACAUGGUCCUGCCCAGUUUUAAUCCCAGCCCAACUAUUUCAUGCACACCCCAAAGGUGAGCAUGCAAAGUGGGUUCAUGGAGGGGCAGUUGCCAGGCAAACCACCAACCACCAAGCACCUACACACAUCAAAGGUCAUGCUUGAGUAGUUGGCCUGCACAAAAUAGCAGGAAACUGCCGAUUCAUGAUUACUAACAGGACCCACAUGCUAACAUGGUGAAGCCCCAAACUACACUUUGGCACAAGACCCACAUGCUAACAAGGUGAAGCCCAAACUGCACCUUGGCACAACUAUCGCACGCUACCCACAAAUUGGAAUUUGUGAACAAUUUGUGUUUUAGAGUAUGCAGUGCCAGAUGAGGUCACUAAGCAUGAAGUUUUCUUGCUACAUGGACCCUUCAGAAAAUAUAUGCCUCCUAACCAACACCAUGCCUAGAGGAACAUGGUCAUUGAGAAUUGACAGCUCUGGUGGUCAGCCGACCGAUAACAGAAGUCAGCUUCUAUAGCAGCAACAGAAUCAUUGAAAACAAAGCCGGAGCUUUUAUUGAGUAAUUUUGUAGAUGUCUUCAUAGAUAAACCUGGAAAUGCUGGUAGUAGGGGAGUUGUAUUCAAUUUAUUCAUCCCAAAGCGUACCUUCAUUUGCAAGCCAAUUGGCAACUCUAUUCCCUCCAUGAUGCAUACAGGAAAAGUUUUCGAGCUAGAGUGAUGAAAGAGGAAAUGAACUUUGUUCAAUCAUUAUUUGGUAGAAUAUUACUCAAGCUUGUCUUUCCUUAAGGGCCUGUUUGGGUCAGCGGAUUUCAAAAAGUAACCUUGGAAAAGAAAACAUUUUCUGCCUUUUGUGACAAUAAAGUAACUUGUGGAAACAGAUUUCACUUUUUGAUCAUUGACCAUCCCACAUUUCUCUGGAUAUGAUGGAAACUAAAACAAACAACCUCUUUAGAAUUCUUUUCUGUGGAUUUCCUUAUCUACAGUUUUCCUUAGAUGUAGCCUUUUCCUUUUGAAAUCUAUUUUUUGGAUUCCACCAACUCAAACAGGCCCUAAAUAGCUUGGACAGUAGAAAGGUAAUCACAUUCAAUCCAGAGGAGUUGAGAUGAAUUCUAUUCUCAGAGCCUCGGAAGCACUUGAGAAAUUCAGCAUAGGAACUAGUGGACUGACCGAAAGAACUGCUGCUCUAAGAAUACGGAAGGAACCAACUGAUUGUGGAAAACAUGCCCAGCUACAGCUAAAGUGGUUACAAGCUCCAUCAGAGUUCAGCUCAAUGCAAUUCCGAGGAGGUAUGCACCAGGAAAUUUGAACGUGCGGGCUGAAAACAAAACCAGCCAACAACCAAAUUCCUGAUAGCAGCAGAAAUGUGGCAAUGUAGCGGAAUGUGGUGUCCGGUUCUUCAGGGAAUCAUGUUCUUAUGGGUUAGGAUUUGCACAUUCUACUAUUAUCUGAGAAAGUAUCCGGUGCCAAACACUUAAAUGUGAUUUAGUUAUCAAUUACUUGAUACAGGACUCGAACCAUCUAUCUGUGAAGUCCUGCUACAGAUGUGGUGUAGCAAAACAAUGAUGCUGUUCAGGUGAUCUUAGCCACUUAUUGGAUGAAUUUUUGGAUUGUGAUUGGGGUGGUUAGGAUCAUCUGAUGGGUGUCAUUUAUUUUUUAUGGCCCACUAAGUGAAUGGUGCAAAUUCGAUGCGUUUCUUGCAUGUGUUCUAUGAUUGAGUCCAUGAAAACUAACUUAGAAAUCAAGGUUUAGCACCUGAUCCUCUCCUGCGUUCUUUCACUAUUCAUCUUUUGUAAAUUGUCUGAUUUUUGGCAAAGAUCUUUCCUUGUUGUUCUCCUUCUCAUGGGCCACUGCAUGGGCACUCAGGUCCCAUGUGGUGAUUGUUGAGACCUACACGUGGCACACUGCUAACAUUCUUUUGGGGGAACGAGGAUCUCUUGCUCUGGGUGGCUACUAAGCACAUGUUUGCCUACAUGGAUGUAAGAGUAAUACGUGCUUUGAAAGUUUAUGUUAUUUAGCAGCCAUUUGAUACACACACACACACACACACACACACACACACACCCUUAAAUUCAAGGGUUAUAUAUUAUCAUUUUAGGUGAAUUUUAGGGUAAUUUAGUUAUUUCCCAGCAACUUCCACAUGACUGUUCUGCCUAGUCAAGUCAAUUUGUCUACUGUCAGAUAUGUACUAAAUGUUAUAGACCACAUAGCCAUUAGCGUCUCACUUUCGACUGAGGGUGGGUUCUAAUGAGGCAGAGAACCCUAGGAAGUUCAGUCAAUUAUUGAAGCCUCUUUUUCAAGCAAGUCUGGUGAGCAAAGGUGAUUCAAGUAAUCCCAUUAAGUCAGGCCUCUACUGUUGAUGCUGUGUGUUCUGGACACUUGAAAUUAGAUCCAUUUUAGCUAAUAGGAGGAUUGUAUUUUCUAAAGUUCCAAGAUGACAAAGGAGGUUGUUACUUCCCUUGUUAAAGAACGAGUUAUUAGAUGGUCACCCAAAAUAGGCUCAGUGGUUCAUCUCUUCCGACAUGCUUCUUUCACCUUUUUUUUA